GCAUCUAGCUGCCCUGAUCUUUCUGCAAUUGUGUUUUUUCCCCACUGACUUAACACUGUGGGACUGGAGAAAUGUUUCCUUAAUUUGCCGCAAUUGGCAUUUAGCCCAGCUCCAACCAGUUGGAAGGUGAAGUUCUGGAGCAGAGUACUGAAGAACAGGAAGAGCUCCAUUCGCGCCAAGGCUUCCCCAACGCAUGCCCGCUUCCCUGGCAAAGAAAAAGAAGGCACAGCUAACCAGUAACCCAAAAAUCUACACAGUGCGCAGGAAACCUAGGACUCAGCUCCAUUAGUCAAAAAAAUAACGUUUUGAAUGUGUUAUAAACAUGCAACACCAGAUGAUGGUGGAGAGCAAAAAUCCUUUUCUAUGCAAUUAAAUCAUAUAACAAUUUAA